AACGCGAAGAACCUUACCUGGGCUCGAACGGCUGGUCAACGCCGGUGGAAACAUCGGUACCCCGCAAGGGGGUCCAGUCGAGGUGCUGCAUGGCUGUCGUCAGCUCGUGUCGUGAGAUGUUGGGUUAAGUCCCGCAACGAGCGCAACCCUUGUCCUGUGUUGCCAUCAUUCAGUUGGGAACUCGCAGGAGACCGCCAGCGAUAAGCUGGAGGAAGGUGGGGAUGACGUCAAGUCCUCAUGGCCUUUAUGUCCAGGGCUACACACGUGCUACAAUGGCCGGUACAAAGCGCCGCAAACCCGCGAGGGGGAGCCAAUCGCAAAAAACCGGUCUCAGUUCGGAUUGCAGGCUGCAACCCGCCUGCAUGAAGCUGGAAUCGCUAGUAAUGGCAGAUCAGCACGCUGCCGUGAAUACGUUCCCGGGCCUUGUACACACCGCAUAC
rnacentral:rRNA from 1 species